rnacentral:lncRNA from 1 species
AAAUGGGUUUAUUUAGGAUCAGCAAAGAAGUGCAAUUUGGAGUCCGCAACCACUGCACACACUGUGGAAGUCCGGAGCAGCAAGGGGAGGAGAAACUCUUAUAGACGGGAAGAGGAAGUUGGGAGGGUUACUGUAAACAAGGAGGCCAUUGGAGGAGACUUGGAGCUCCAAGUGUAGUGGCUUUUCAUUGGCUGAGCUUCUUGCUGGCUAAGAAGAGGAAGUAUUUCUUCUUCUGGUUGGACUGCGCUGUCAAUGACAACGUAGGGCGUGAGAGCUGCCCCUUUUGGCCUCCUGACUCCAUGUUAAUGAGGCUUACGCUUCACCAGAAGCUGUUAUGUCUUGAUAGACUCCACUCUCCAGUUGAUUGGUCCAAAAGGUGUGCAUCCACUCAAGCAAGGAUAGCCUGUGUCUUUUCCCAGUAUCUUUAACCUUGAGACCUAGAGAAUAAGUCCUUUUCUGGUGUGGAAGAUGUGGGAAGUGAGACAUGAGAGCUGGGGAAUAUCAUGCUUCAAACCAGAUGGAGGAACCCAAGUUACAGUGAAAGAUCCUGAAGGUAAUGCACAGAUCAAAGCAAACAAGAGGCAGAGAGAGACCCUCCAGUGUUCGAGACGUAGUUCUAGGCGAUGUGAGGCCUAGGAGCUUGUAACCGUCCUUGACUUUCCCUGACAGCUCAUGGGACCAAAGGACCAAAGUUCAUGUGGGCUACUAAAUAUCCUUCCAAUAAACUCUCUUUUUGGCUAAUUUUGUUCAGAACGAUUUCAGUCAUUUGCAGCCAAAGGAAUCCUGGAUGAUAUACUGGUCAUUAUUGGGAUCUUCUGAGCAAUGUUGAAUACCUGCAGUAACAGACGACAUCCUCGCCUCGUUUCUGACUUCAGUGGGAACGCGUCUGAUAUUUCACCUUCAAAAUCAUACUUACUUUUGUUUUCAAGAAUAUAUCCCUUGGUAAGUAAAAGAAAUUCCCAUUGAUUCUGAGUUAAGGUUUACUUGAAGUCAGGAGUGAAUAUUGAAUUUUAUCAAAUGUUAAAGCUGUACUAUGACAUUAAUCAUUAUAUUAAUGCCUUUUAAAAAUGCAAACUAGCUUUCUCUUUCUGAGUGUACCCAGAUGAAUCCCCUACAGUUUUGCAUAAAUACUCAGUUUCCAUAAACACAUGGAACAAAAGCUGAGCAAUCUUUGGUAAAUUGUUGCUGAGAUGGGAGCAGAAGGAACACCUAUGUUCUUUGAUCCACCCUCAAGGGUGUGAGGAAACAGAAACUCUUGUACAUUCCCG